UUAUUUUUUUCUAAAUUUGAAGUUUGGUCCUAAGCAUGGUUAUUGUGCUAGGAUUCGAGGAGACCUCACUUGACUGGCGAUUUGGAUUUCGUCGAGCUUAUACCUAAAGUUGUGAGUGGACUUUUGUUUUAAAUAAUAUGAAUGCUAUGGUUCAUGGUUGAACAAUUAGUUUUGUUGGAGCAUUUGACGUCAUUUUAAUUUUGACAAUUUUAUUUCUCUUAGAAAGUUACCGAAAAUAGAAUUUUCGGUGAAUAUAAAUAUGUAUUUAUGAGGAGAGUAUGUAUAUAAAUGCUAACUAGCCAUAUGUGUCUGUCCACCUUAAUGGCAUAGCAUAUAACCGUAUUAUGGUGUGACGUGAGCGUUUGACGUGAGCAUAAUAGCUCUAUAUGAGUGUUUAAUUCAAAUAGGGAGUAUGGGCACAUAUUUAUACACCCGUCUGUCCACCUUAAUGGCGUAGUGUAUCACCGCAUUAAGGCGUAACGUGAGCGUUGGACGUGAUCGUAGUAGCCCUAUAUAAAUCCAAAUUUAUAUAGGGAGUAUGGACGUGUGUAAAUACAUACAUAUAUUUUAGAGCAUGAGAGACUCGAUAUUUUAUGAGUUGAAAGUUUAUCGCUUGAGGCAUGCAUUUGCUUUUCUUUGGAAAUUUAAUUUGGGAAAGCAUAAAGAUAUUUAUUGCUCGUUUCUUUUAAAUUUACUUUUGUCCACUCACUCUAACGUUUUCGAAUGUUUUCCCUUGGGCCAUUCGUUUUGAAAAUGCCCAGUUUGCAGGAUUGCAUAGUUGAGGUCGGGCGUACAUGGAGACGAGGCAUAGUUAGUAGUAUAGCUUCCGCUUAUAUAUAUAUAUAUAUUUCUAGUUUAUUUCUCCUCUAAUAGAGUUGCUCUGAACCUGUGAUUGUUGAUUGUGAGUUUUUCUUAUUAAAGUUAGUAAAUAAAUUGGGAGAUGUUGUGAUUUGGGGAGCACGAAGGCUUCAGGAGUAGAGGGUUAUAGAUGGAUUCUUUUGAAGUGUAUGCAAGUUUUUAUUAGGAAGGGUUGUCCAUUUUCAAGGGAGGUUAUGCCGAAUUUUCGGUAAAUUUUCCUUGGAGGUGGUUCCCGCAGGAUUUACUUCGGGUUUCAGGGUGAAAUUCGGGGUGGGUCUUGACAGUUGGUAUCAGAGCAUUAGGUUAUUCGAUUCCUUUCUCUUUUUAGUACUACCUCAUAUUCUUGGUCAUACUUAGUGUUUACAGAGUGAUGGUCUGACCGCGGCAGAUCCAUUAGCAUUAUAUGUGACACGACCCACCCCAAAUUUCACCCUGAAACCCGGAGUAAGUCGUGCGGGGACCACCUCCAAGGAAAAUUUACUGAAAAGAUUAAGAAAAUCUCCCUUGCAGAUGGACAACCCUAAUUCGAAAAUUCCAAAUUACACUCUUAAUUCAACACUUCCAAACAUCACAUAAUUAUCCUUCAGAAAUUCUACACAUAAUAUACAAUAAUCCAAAAGUAUUCAGAGCUACUAAACACUAGCGGAAGCAAGAAAACACGAGUAGGUUGAACAGGUAACCUACUGACGAAAAUUAGCAAAAAUGCGGGUGACUAUGCCUCGCCUCCUACUAGAUCCAACCCGAACUCUGCAGACUGGGCAAUUUAAAACGAAGGGCCCAGGGGAAAACAUUUAAUAACGUUAGAGUGAGUGGACAAAAAUAAAAUAAUAAAUAAAAUAUUUAUGUUUCCUGAAAUUAAUAUCUAAGGAAAAAUCGAAUGCGUGCCGCAAGCGAUAAAACUUUUAUCUCAUAAAAUAUCGAGCCUCACAGACUCUAUAAUAUAUGUAUGUAUUUACACUCGUCCAUACUCCCUAUAUAAAUUCAUGGGUCUAUAUAGGGCUACUACGCUCGCGUCCAACGCUCACGUCAGCCUUAAUGCGGUGCUACACUACGCCAUCAAGGUGGACAGACGGGUGUAUAAAUAUGUGUCCAUACCCCCUAUAUGAAUUAAACACUCAAAUAGGGCUACUACGCUUACGUCCAACGCUCACGUCACACCAUAGUGCGGCUAUAUGCUACGCCAUUAAGGUGGACAAACACAUAUGGCUAGCUAGCAUUUUUUAUACAUACUCUCUCAUAUAUACAUAUUUAUAUUCACCGAAAAUCCCAUUUUCGGUAACUCUCUCUCAGAGAAAUAAAAGCGUCAAAAUUAAUUGACGGCAAAAUACUCCACGACAUUAAUUAUUCAAUCGUGAACUUAGCAUGCAUUUAUUUAAAACAAAAGUCCACUCACAAAUUAGGCCUAAGCCUGCUGUCGAUCUGGGGUCUCGUCUGCUCGAGCCUCCUCACGUCCUGUUCCAAAUAAAAUAUUAAUUGCCCAUCCAAUAAUCCAAUAUUUAAUCAAAAUAGGCAAAAUUACCCGUGAGCCAUAAUUACGCUCAUCAUUGCCUAACUUCGAUAUUCUUACAUCGGAACGAUCCGAACUUAAAUAUCAUACUCAAUAGUCGUAAAUACAACCUCCCCAAAAUACGACUUAAAUCCAACGGCCGGAUUCUACAUUAAUUACCCGCCAAAAAUACCACACUUCGGAAAUUCACAAACCUAUCCAAAUCUCAUCCAAAAAUUCCAUAAAUCACACCAAUAUACUCCUCUUAAUAUUCCACAUUUAAAACCCUAAAAAUUUCCUAACCGGCGGCGGCCGGCAGCCGUUUUCCGGCGACCUGCAAAUGCUACCAAAUUUUAACAGAAUCUUCCUCUCAAUCUCCUCUACAACUUUCAUGACCAACACAUCACCCAAUUCCAAGCCUAACUAGGCUAAUCGAACGAAAAUAACUUAAAAGCCUAGAAAUUUCAACUCCACAUUUCUCCUUACCUAGCUCAAGAGGGAGGGAGCUGUUUGGAGGGGUUGUUGCACGGGAGGAGGGCUACAAAACCGUACCAAGCUUGCCCGGAUUGGUGGCCGGAGGAGGAAGUUCCGGCGAAGGGAAGCUCGGGGCAGUCGGUUCUUUCGGGCGGCACCGCUCACUCACGGCGGCGCUAGGGCUCCUCUCACCGGUCUAGAAAUGUUGCUGGGAGGGAGACCGACCGAACGGGACCGGUCCGGCGGCGAACGGAGGUCGGACGGCGGCGGGAGGACGGCCGGAAU
rnacentral:lncRNA from 1 species